GCAGAGGGGAAGGAGGACAGAGCAUCAGACAGCAUCAGGAACCAGGGCCAAAAGACCUAAAGAUGCGGUGGCUGCUUGCCCGUAGUAAGAAGUUCUUCCAAGGAACCCCACUUGCUGCUGCAGAGAGGAGUGAUCAUGGAAGGAGUGUGAACUGGUGAAGUCUGAACUGAAGGAAACUGCUGGCUUUGAAGCCCACAAGUGCACAAGUUCCCUCACCUACACUAAACUACAGUUGGGACUAAUCAGUGGAUGAUGUUCUUUCCUCUGGGAUUUUCAUGUUUCUUUGCAGGCAGCACUCACUUGAACUAAUGAAAGCAGAUGUUCCCAAACCUAAAUCUAUA